AGGUUUUUGGGGAUGUUCCUCUCUUUUCCUGGCUUUGGUGCAGGCGAAGGGACCAGACUGGUGGAAAGUUUGUUUACCUUCUUCAGGACUAAGGACCAGGAGACUUAUUAUCUAUUGUGUGGUCCCAAGACUUUCUGCCUGGUGGAUUUAAGAAGCUCCUUGUUUUAAAAUACAGCAGAAUAUGCAUAUGAAAAUUAAUUUUGCUGUACUGCACUUUUCAAUAAAAAGGUCAACCUCAGCUGGUGUGACUGCAUUCAUAUUUUGA